rnacentral:misc_RNA from 1 species
GUAGGUGAACCUGCGGAAGGAUCAUUAGUGAAAAUAGGAAGUCCCUCUGCAAAGAGAAGGUCCUACCCACUAUCUCACACACUGUGCACUUAGAAGCCUUUUUAUUUACGAUUCACUUCGUAGAUUUAAAACACACUUGUACUAAAAACAUGUUGAUGAUGUAAACACAUUUUGAAAAAUGAAAGAAAAACUUUCAGCAACGGAUCUCUUGGCUCUC